UACGUAGGGUGCAAGCGUUGUCCGGAAUUAUUGGGCGUAAAGAGCUCGUAGGCGGUUUGUUGCGUCGGCUGUGAAAUCCCGAGGCUCAACCUCGGGUCUGCAGUCGAUACGAGCAAACUAGAGUGUUGCAGGGGAGACUGGAAUUCCUGGUGUAGCGGUGAAAUGACGCAGAUAUCAGGAGGAACACCGGUGGCGAAGGCGGGUCUCUGGG
rnacentral:rRNA from 1 species